GUGCUCACAGUAGCAGCACAUAUACUAACAUUGGAAUGAUGCAGAGGUUAGCAUGUCCUCUGAGCAAGAAUGGCACAACUUUUUUUUCCAGUUUUAAACUUCCAU